rnacentral:lncRNA from 1 species
GCUGGGACAAGUCGAGGAACAGAGUGAUGGUCCGGAUGAUAGUAUUAGCUAGUAGUCCUCACUAUUCUGUUAAAUAAUGUGACAAUAAAUAUAAUGAGGACUUAUUCUGAGAGUGGAUAUUGUCUAGAAGACAGUAUUUGUAUUUAAACUCACAGCUCUCUUGUUGUAUAAUUAAGAUUGUAUUUGUAUUCUGUACCAUGUAUCUGGUGACCCAAGAUGGUUGAUGUAUACCUAUUUUGGGGGCGUCACAGUUGGUAUCAAAGCUUAGGGAUAUGAUCCUUGGCUAAGGUGUGAGGCAAGAACUAGGAGGGGAGAGAUGGGG